UUGUUUGCAGGAAGUGUUAAUGCACAAGUUAUGUCCAUAACUUGUUCUGUCGUCAGUAGAGCAUAAAUAUUCAUUUUGUAUUUGUAAGCUGUAUAACUGGUGUAUGUUAUUAAAACUAUUGCACAAGUUUCUUAUAAACUUAUUUAUCAGUAAUACAGUAAAAAUGGUGGGACGAGUCGAUUUAUAGCGUGCGCCCCUAAAUGUUAAGUUAGGGGCCACUGUGCUCCCAGUGAGAAGAGUUAGUCUGGAGCCCUGAUCAUACAUACGAAGCUGCAUCUUGCAAAGGAAUUGCAGGACUCGUGACAGAGAAUGUCCCAACAUGUGACUCGCAAUGUCCACCUGUCCCCCGUCCGUCCCUCUGUCUCUGUUUGUCUGGUGCUUCGUCUUGUCUGUGGUGUUUUACAGUGAAUGUGUUCCCAGAUGAACACACCUCUAGUGGCUCAGAGGACGUGACAACCAAUAAAUGGACCUGAGCACCACAUGUCCUGCGUCCCUCUGGAAGUCCUGGACAUGCUUCAGGCUGAAUCAUCUCAUGGUCACAGAUUACAGAUAUUCAGUGUGGGGCGCUGGGUGGUGUAAGUGAAUAUGUGAACCACAUGGUGGCAGCACGCUGAUGGAGUUCACUUCACAAGAAGCUCCCUCCUCACAGCGCCGAGUGACUGUGAGUAUCUGUACUACUUCCAGCUGAGUGACGCACCAUCCAGUCACUGGAUUCACUUCAUUUAUGUUGAACACAUAGUAAGAAUUUGACGCAUAACGCCUCAUCUGUAAAUGGAAAAACAUUUAUCCUGUUAAACACGUCCACAAAGGGUUGAAUGCACUUUGUAUUUAAUACAUGAAAAUGAAGAGAAAUGAUGCUGAACAAUAUGAAACAUGCUGGUUUGGCUUAAGAAUUAAAAGAAAACAUUAAAUCAAAUGUCUUUCUGCGUUCAUUGUGUGUUAAAAAUAUCACAUGAUUUUAGAUACAAAACACUGACAACAUGCGCUGCUGUUAAUUAUUAACUUUAAAACCUCACAACAACUUAACGGGCUGAUGGCAGAGUGAAUUCAUCAUGUUGGUUGAUGUAAUAGUUUAGAUUGUUCUUGAUGUUUGAAAAAUGGCUCUUUAAACCUGCGAGUGGUGGAUGUUUUGAGAAAAUAUGAUUAAUAAAAGAAUCUGACAAUUGUUUAGUGUUGUGGUCUAAAGUUCCACCAGAGCCGUACACUUGAUAAUUAGAAGUGCUGAUGCAGAGGUCUUUUCCAGCUGGUUGUAGUUGAAGUAAACACGUAAGGUUAAGGUUUUGUAAAGAACAUACGGACAUCGGUCCAGAAAGACAACUAUUGUCACCACCGCAAUUCAUUUCAUGACCGACAGCAGUAUGACCGGCGAAGUCCUUCCUGUGUUUCUCCAGCAGCUGAUCCAGGUCCUGUAGAUACGUAGUGAGGGCAGCUUGGAUGACAUGAACAUAGUCCUUCGAACUGAUGCCAGUCUUCUGAUUCAGUCGAGCCUCAUGGAUCAACAUCUGGACGUGGAAGGAGGCUCCGUUCACCCAGAUCUUCAACCCACGGCUCCUCAUCUGUCCUGUAGAUACGUAGUGAGGGCAGCUUGGAUGACAUGAACAUAGCCCUUCGAACUGAUGCCAGUCGUGUGAUUCAGUCGAGCCUGAUGGAUCAACAUCUGGACGUGGAAGGAGGCUCCGUUCACCCAGAUCUUCAACCCACGGCUCCUCAUCUGUCCGUCAAGCAGCAGGGAGUUUCUGAGGAUGGUGAGAUGGUUGCUCAGCUGUAUCUCCAGUCUCUCUAGUUCACCCUGUAGGUGUCGGUUAUCAGUCAGGUACAUCCGAUGGCGCUUCACAUACUCCGACACAGUGUCCCGGACUCCUGAGGCCUUCUCUUCACCAAAUGCCUGCAGGAACUUGCUGUAUGAAUCAUCAGAAGUUGCAACGUGGCUCUUCAUGGAAAUAUCUAUGAUCAUGGAAAUCAUCAAUGCUCCGAGUCCAACAGCAUUUGGGAAUAAAGUACACGAACUCAAACUAGAUCCCAACUUCUCAACGUAUUCUGGAAUCUGAUUGACCAGACCAUCGGAGUAGGUCUGCAGCUCAGCGUUGGAGUUCAAACCAGAAUACUUCAGCAGAGACCGGUCUAGGCCCACAUCUGGAAUGAUACAUGUUUCCCGUAAGGCUCUUUCAUAAAUAUUGAGAGCACAGCUGUCAUAAAUCUCUUGUGAGUAUUCACAGGAGCUUCCAGAGCCCAUGUUUUCGACUGGAACCUGGAGACUCAAACAAAGCUGAGACGUACCCGAAUUCACGCCAGAG
ensembl:lncRNA